AGGGAGAGGGAGAGGGAGAGGGAGGAGGGAGAUCGGGAGCAGGGAGCAGGGAAGGAGGGCGAAAUACAGAGGGAGGCGCACAACCCCCAGCUUAUGCGAAAUACUUACCCAAAACGACCCCGUUUUUAGUUGCUUCAACUAGGCGCACGCCUUAUGCGCCUUAGGGUGCGUUUUUUGCGCCUUAUGCGCCUUAGGGGUGCGUUUUUUGCGCCUCUGCGCCUAACCUGCAAAACACAAUGAAAUUUUCCUGCGCCUCACGCCUUUUAAGCCUCAAGGCGCGCCUGAGGCGCGUUUUUUAAAACAUUGAUUGUGAGCAUACUAGUUGAAUUAGAAUUUCAUUGUUUUGUGAAUAGACUCUUUAUAUAACCUAGGUGCGCGCUUGCCCACCAAACAUUCAUCAAAAUAUAUACUGUACAACAUCUUGCCUUACCAAGAAAACAGAACUAUAUGAACCGACUUUCAAAACUGCUGGAUUGAAUGUUCAAGCAGAGUUAACUCUUAAUCAUGUCAUCUCUCAAGUCUCAAUCACUUCACAUGAACCUAUCCAAAACAAAGCCUGAAAGCCGAGUAUCAAGGUACGUAGGUUUUGAUGAAAGAGAUAGAUCGAAUGGCAAAAUGAUGAAGCUCAGAGCUAGAGAGAAAGCAAAAUGAUGAUAUUUUUAAGUGGUAAUUUUACACAAUGGUUCAGUCUGAAAAAAAAAAUGAAAAAGAAGAAGAAAGAAAGCUAUUUAAGCUAGUUGAUAGUGGAUGUGGUUACAAACUUACGACGCAAUCGGCCCACAAGUAGGACUGAUAAUAGCCUCACUAUCAACAACUAAGCUAAUUAUAUUCAUACAAAACAACUAAGCUAAUUAUAGAAUUAAAUUCAUUUUACCCCCUUUGGUUUGGGGGUGACUUCAUGUUAGUCCCUACACUUUUAUUUUCAUCAAGUUUACCCCUUGAACUCUUCAAUUUCUGUCUACCGUGCCCAAAUUCUCAUAUUCCGUUUGAAUUGACCUUUAAUUAUCAGCAGUUAAGGUCCGAUUUGGACAUAUAAGGUCCGAUUUGCCCAAAUUCUAGAUACUGGCCUCACAGUUAAGGUUAAAAUUAUCAGCAGUUAACGUCCGAUUUGGACAGAAUAUAGAACAUUUGGUCACGCUUGAGGAAAAUUCAAAAGUUUGAGGGGUAAACUGAUGAAAUUGAAAGUAUAGGGAUUAACAUGAAGUUACUCCCAAAC
rnacentral:lncRNA from 1 species